rnacentral:rRNA from 1 species
AACGAACGCUGGCGGCAUGCCUAACACAUGCAAGUCGAACGAGACCUUCGGGUCUAGUGGCGCACGGGUGCGUAACGCGUGGGAACCUGCCCUUAGGUUCGGAAUAACUCCCCGAAAGGGGUGCUAAUACCGGAUAAUGUCUUCGGACCAAAGAUUUAUCGCCUUUGGAUGGGCCCGCGUUGGAUUAGCUAGUUGGUAGGGUAAAAGCCUACCAAGGCGACGAUCCAUAGCUGGUCUGAGAGGAUGAUCAGCCACACUGGGACUGAGACACGGCCCAGACUCCUACGGGAGGCAGCAGUGGGGAAUAUUGGACAAUGGGCGAAAGCCUGAUCCAGCAAUGCCGCGUGAGUGAUGAAGGCCUUAGGGUUGUAAAGCUCUUUUACCCGGGAUGAUAAGGACAGUACCGGGAGAAGAAGCUCCGGCUAACUCCGU